AACUAAAAAUUUCAUCUAUUUGUACAAUUAAAGAUUAGCGUGAUUAACAAAAUGAUCAGAUAGUAACAUGUGACGUGCCAUAUAUACUUUAUGCUGUCAUGAAUGGAUCAAUUUUUAACAACAUAAAUAAAUAAUUUUUUUAAUA
rnacentral:pre_miRNA from 1 species